CAAACAGGGAAGAUUGGUCAGUCUUUAAUCCUACACCCUAUAUGAUCAAAGUGUUAGUAACACACAACCCAAACACUGACCCCACCUGUCAAAGACCACGGCAGCGAAGCUAGCCUCUGCAAACACCACCUCACCAACCUUCACCUCCUU